rnacentral:lncRNA from 1 species
CGAGCUGUGCUUGUCCGAGCCAAGGCUCUUUGCGGCCGAGCUGUGCUUGUCCGAGCCAAGGCUCUUUGCGGCCGAGCUGUGCUUGUCCGAGCCAAGGUUCUUUGCACAUGUGCCCUGCUCGUCCAAGUUUCCUUGCGCCCGUGCCUGUGCUCGUAGGCCCUGCUCGUCCAAGGUUCCUUGCACCUGUGCGACCUAGAGCUGAGGUCGUCCAAGAGACUGAGGCCCUGCUCGUCCGAGGUUCCUUGUGCCUGUGCUCGUCCGAGGUGCCGAGGCUGAGGUCGGACCACAGGUGCAAUGAGCCCAGAGGAGCCGAGGUCGGACAACAGGUGCAAUGAGCCCAGAGGAGCCGAGGUCGGACAACAGGUGCGAUGAGCCAAGAGGCGCAUGAGUCGUGCUUCGCACCCUUAGCACG